ACCUACGGGGGGCAGCAGUGGGGAAUAUUGCACAAUGGGGGGAACCCUGAUGCAGCGACGCCGCGUGAGUGAAGAAGUAUUUCGGUAUGUAAAGCUCUAUCAGCAGGGAAGAAAAUGACGGUACCUGACUAAGAAGCCCCGGCUAACUACGUGCCAGCAGCCGCGGUAAUACGUAGGGGGCAAGCGUUAUCCGGAUUUACUGGGUGUAAAGGGAGCGUAGACGGCGCGGCAAGUCUGAAGUGAAAGGCAGGGGCUUAGCCCCUGAACGGCUUUGGAAACUGCC
rnacentral:rRNA from 1 species